UUCAAUUUCUCUUUUACAUUUUCCUCCAUUGAACAUGAAUGAUCUAGCUGUUGUGCUAGAAUUUCACAUGGUACCAGAGCCAAGCGCUCAGUACUGAGAAGAUUCAGUUAACUUCUCAUUCUAUUAUAUGCAAAUCUCGAGGAGUUUGUGUGAUCUCUAUUAUCAGCUUCUUCUUCUCGAUUGAAAUCUAAAAUUGUGUAAUCUCUGUUCUCGACUUCUUCUUCUCGGUUGAACUCUAUUGUUGAUUCAGUCUGUACAGCCAUGGCACCAAAGAUUGAUCAAAGUGAUCCACUUUUUAUUGGUACUUCAGAUAGCUGUAAUGUUGUACUCGUUCCCAUCAGACUCACCAGUUCAGAAAAUUACAACUUGUGGAGUUGUUUAAUAUGCAUUUCACUCUUAGAAAAGAGAAAGUUUGAUUUUGUCACUAGAUCUAUAGCAAGGACUCGUACAGGGAGGAACUUCAUGAGUAAUGGGAGACAUGUAAUCCAAUUGUCUUAUCCUGAAUUAUGAACACAGUGAGAGCCUGCUAUAUGGCAUUGUUUAUGCUACAAAUGCUUGUGCUGUCUGGAAAGAUCUGAAAGAGAGAUUUGAAAAAGCGAAUCGUAUACGCAUCUAUCAGUUGCACCAUGAAAUCAAUAUGCUAUCUCAAGGUACUGAUUUAAUUUCAGUUUAUUUUACCAAAUUGAAAAGUUUGUGGAGUGAUUAUGAUGUGUUGGUUCCUAAUUCUAGCUGUGAUUGCCCUAAGUCUAAGGAAUAUUUAGAUUAUAUGUGUCAAUUGAGACGCUUACAGUUUUUGAGUGGCUUAAAUAAGUCCUAUGAUCAAGAUCAAAGACAAAUUUUACUCAAGGGUGUAACUCCUACUAUCUAUCAAGCUUAUGCCAUGCUUGUUGAGGAUGAGAUCCAACAUUCCUCUUGUAUGCUUACAGUACAUGAUAGAUCAGAACCACUAGCCAUGCAGGUGAAUCGAAAUUAUGGUUCUUAUAGUUAUGGGCAAGGGUGUUCCAACUACAAAGGAAGAAAGUGUGAUUAUUGUCACCUCUCAGGUCAUACCAAAGAGUUGUUAUAAACUGAUUGGCUAUCCUACUGAUUGGAAGAAUAAAAAGAAACAAGGGUACAUUACGGCUAAUCCCAGGUCAUAUAGUAGCGGUAACAACUAUUUCUCAUAUGGUAGUGGCAACCACACAGCUGGUAAGCCUUCUCAAAUACCCAACGUGGUAGCAGGACAAGUUGAUAUUGCCGGUUCAAGUCAUGAUCAGGGACCUGCACCACUGGCAAAGGCUCAUACAAUUACAAAUGAAGAAUACUCUAAAAUUAUGAGCAUGCUGAGCAAGGACACCAAGGAUAUGAAACAAGUCAACAUGACAGGACCUCUUCAGUGGCAAGGUGAAGGGGAUUGUAGACUUUAUAUACUUAGAGAAGAAUGGAAAGAUAACAUUAUGGCACAAAAGACUUGGAUAUCCAGCUUCAGAGAUUCUGGCUCUCAAGUCAGGUGCCUCAUUAGGAUCUCUAUCUUCUGUCAUUGGUGAGCCUCUUACCUAGCAGGAGGAUGGACGAGAUGUGAUGACUUCUUUACAUUUUCUUUCCUUUCAGUAUUGGUACCUAUUAGAGGCUUAACAAGUAGAGCUGCAGAACAAGGCUGCUCAACUUUAUCUGAUGCAUCUUCAUAUAUGAACUGUCAAACAAAGGAAAAUCAGACAUCAUUAACUAUAAAGUAUGAACAACAGGAAGAAAGGUAAAAAAGACGCGUCAUACAGAAUCAAUCAUGAAAGCAGUAUUAGAAAGGUUAACAUUCUAGUAAGGAUUAUCUGAACGAAGGGAUCACCUCAGUGAGUACAAUUAAUGGGUUCUUGUUAAUGAACAAAAUACUAAAGGAACCAGCAGCACCAGGUGAAGCUAAGGUUCACAAAUCACUGGAAUAGCCAGUGGGUGACAAAUAAAAGGGGGUGACUUUUGUGUUUCCCUUUUCCCUUCUUAGGGGUGUGUGUGUGGGGGUGGGAACUACACACAGAGGACUAUCAAUUGAAGUAAUAGUUGGAAACUUAUUUUUCCUCAAAACUAUAAGCAAGUUACCCAGUCAAAUAGCAAAACAGAGUUUUUGCUGCAAUUUGUACAUGUAUGGCUGGAAACAGAUUAAACCACCCUGUCCCUAGGCGGGACAAAAGGAGGAAACAGUCACGCUUCAUGCAAUCAGGUAAGACCAAAACAAUGUUCAGACUGAGCAAAUAAGAGGAGCAAAUGACGAGCAUAAUGAAUUUUUAAGGCUUGAA